GAUGAAGAACGCAGCGAAAUGCGAUAAGUAAUGUGAAUUGCAGAAUUCAGUGAAUCAUCGAAUCUUUGAACGCACCUUGCGCCCUUUGGCUAUUCCGAAGGGCAUGCCUGUUUGAGUAUCGUGAACACCUCAACUCUCAUGGUCUGCCAUGAUGAGCUUGGACUUUGGGGGUCUUGCCGGCCUAGCGUCGGCUCCUCUCAAAUGGAUCAGCUUGCCAGUGUUUGGUGGCAUCACAGGUGUGAUAACUAUCUACGCUUGUGGUUUUCUACCAUGUAACCUUCAGCGAUGGAGGUUCGCUGGGGCUCACAGACGUCUCUCCUUGGAGGACAGCUUUUUGAACGUUUGAUCUCAAAUCAGGUAGGACUACCCGCUGAACUUAAGCAUAUCAAUAAGCGGAGGA
rnacentral:misc_RNA from 1 species